AUGCUUAUCGGAAAGCUUCGGCCGGAAGAUAAGUUAUCUAGUGGCGGACGGGUGAGUAACACGUGGGUAACCUGCCUUAUGGAGGGGGAUAACAGAGAGAAAUCACUGCUAAUACCGCAUAAGCACACAGUACCGCAUGGUACAGGGUGAAAAGAUUUAUCGCCAUAAGAUGGACCCGCGUCUGAUUAGCCAGUUGGCAGGGUAAAAGCCUACCAAAGCAACGAUCAGUAGCCGAUCUGAGAGGAUGACCGGCCACAUUGGGACUGAGACACGGCCCAAACUCCUACGGGAGGCAGCAGUGGGGAAUAUUGCACAAUGGGGGAAACCCUGAUGCAGCGACGCCGCGUGAGUGAAGAAGUAUUUCGGUAUGUAAAGCUCUAUCAGCAGGGAAGAUAAUGACAGUACCUGACUAAGAAGCCCCGGCUAACUACGUGCCAGCAGCCGCGGUAAUACGUAGGGGGCAAGCGUUAUCCGGAUUUACUGGGGGUAAAGGGAGCGUAGACGGAAUGGCAAGUCUGAAGUGAAAUACCCGGGCUCAACCUGGGAACUGCUUUGGAAACUGUUGUUCUAGAGUGUUGGAGAGGUAAGUGGAAUUCCUGGUGUAGCGGUGAAAUGCGUAGAUAUCAGGAAGAACACCGGAGGCGAAGGCGGCUUACUGGACAAUAACUGACGUUGAGGCUCGAAAGC
rnacentral:rRNA from 1 species